UUCUGUAAGCCUGUGAAGGUGAGUUGAGAAGCUUGCUGGAGGUAUCAGAAGUGCGAAUGCUGACAUGAGUAACGACAAUGGGUGUGAAAAACACCCACGCCGAAAGACCAAGGGUUCCUGCGCAACGUUAAUCGACGCAGGGUUAGUCGGUUCCUAAGGCGAGGCUGAAAAGCGUAGUCGAUGGGAAACAGGUUAAUAUUCCUGUACUUCUGGUUACUGCGAUGGAGGGACGGAGAAGGCUAGGCCAGCUUGGCGUUGGUUGUCCAAGUUUAAGGUGGUAGGCUGAAAUCUUAGGUAAAUCCGGGGUUUCAAGGCCGAGAGCUGAUGACGAGUCGUCUUUUAGAUGACGAAGUGGUUGAUGCCAUGCUUCCAAGAAAAGCUUCUAAGCUUCAGGUAACCAGGAACCGUACCCCAAACCGACACAGGUGGUCGGGUAGAGAAUACCAAGGCGCUUGAGAGAACUCGGGUGAAGGAACUAGGCAAAAUGGCACCGUAACUUCGGGAGAAGGUGCGCCGGCUAGGGUGAAGGAUUUACUCCGUAAGCUCUGGCUGGUCGAAGAUACCAGGCCGCUGCGACUGUUUAUUAAAAACACAGCACUCUGCAAACACGAAAGUGGACGUAUAGGGUGUGACGCCUGCCCGGUGCCGGAAGGUUAAUUGAUGGGGUUAGCGCAAGCGAAGCUCUUGAUCGAAGCCCCGGUAAACGGCGGCCGUAACUAUAACGGUCCUAAGGUAGCGAAAUUCCUUGUCGGGUAAGUUCCGACCUGCACGAAUGGCGUAACGAUGGCGGCGCUGUCUCCACCCGAGACUCAGUGAAAUUGAAAUCGCUGUGAAGAUGCAGUGUAUCCGCGGCUAGACGGAAAGACCCCGUGAACCUUUACUGUAGCUUUGCACUGGACUUUGAGCCUGCUUGUGUAGGAUAGGUGGGAGGCUUUGAAGCGUGGACGCCAGUUCGCGUGGAGCCAUCCUUGAAAUACCACCCUGGCAUGCUUGAGGUUCUAACUCUGGUCCGUGAUCCGGAUCGAGGACAGUGUAUGGUGGGCAGUUUGACUGGGGCGGUCUCCUCCUAAAGAGUAACGGAGGAGUACGAAGGUGCGCUCAGACCGGUCGGAAAUCGGUCGUAGAGUAUAAAGGCAAAAGCGCGCUUGACUGCGAGACAGACACGUCGAGCAGGUACGAAAGUAGGUCUUAGUGAUCCGGUGGUUCUGUAUGGAAGGGCCAUCGCUCAACGGAUAAAAGGUACUCCGGGGAUAACAGGCUGAUACCGCCCAAGAGUUCAUAUCGACGGCGGUGUUUGGCACCUCGAUGUCGGCUCAUCACAUCCUGGGGCUGAAGCCGGUCCCAAGGGUAUGGCUGUUCGCCAUUUAAAGUGGUACGCGAGCUGGGUUUAGAACGUCGUGAGACAGUUCGGUCCCUAUCUGCCGUGGACGUUUGAGAUUUGAGAGGGGCUGCUCCUAGUACGAGAGGACCGGAGUGGACGAACCUCUGGUGUUCCGGUUGUCACGCCAGUGGCAUUGCCGGGUAGCUAUGUUCGGAAAAGAUAACCGCUGAAAGCAUCUAAGCGGGAAACUUGCCUCAAGAUGAGAUCUCACUGGGAACUUGAUUCCCCUGAAGGGCCGUCGAAGACUACGACGUUGAUAGGCUGGGUGUGUAAGCGUUGUGAGGCGUUGAGCUAACCAGUACUAAUUGCCCGUGAGGCUUGACCAU
rnacentral:rRNA from 1 species